rnacentral:rRNA from 1 species
AUUGAACGCUGGCGGCAGGCCUAACACAUGCAAGUCGAACGAGUGGCGGACGGGUGAGUAAUGUCUGGGAAACUGCCUGAUGGAGGGGGAUAACUACUGGAAACGGUAGCUAAUACCGCAUACCAUCGGAUGUGCCCAGAUGGGUUGAGCUAGUGGGUGGGGUAAAGGCUCACCUAGGCGACGCUCCCUAGCUGGUCUGAGAGGAUGACAAGCCACACUGGAACUGAGAAAAGGUCCAGACUCCUACGGGAGGCGGCAGUGGGGAAUAUUGCACAAUGGGCGCAAGCCUGAUGCAGCCAUGCCGCGUGUAUGAAGAAGGCCUUCGGGUUGUAAAGUACUGUCAGCGGGGAGGCGUUACCCGCAGAAGAAGCACCGGCUAACUCCGUGCCAGCCGCCGCGGUAAUUC